rnacentral:rRNA from 1 species
AUUCCUUUAAUACGGCGAGUGACCGGGAAAAGCUCAAUUUGUAAUGCUGGCUGUCUUCGAUAGUCCGAGUUGUAAUCUAUAGACGUGUUUUCCGUGCUGGACCGUAUCUAAGUCCCUUGGAACAGGGUAUCAAAGAGGGUGACAAUCCCGUGCUUGAUACGACCACCAGUGCUCUGUGAUACACGCUCUACGAGUCGAGUUGUUUGGGAAUGCAGCUCAAAAUGGGUGGUAAAUUCCAUCUAAAGCUAAAUAUUGGCGAGAGACCGAUAGCGAACAAGUACCGUGAGGGAAAGAUGAAAAGCACUUUGGAAAGAGAGUUAAACAGUACGUGAAAUUGUUGAAAGGGAAACGAUUGAAGUCAGUCGUGUUCUUUGGAUUCAGCUAGUUCUUCUAGUCUACUUCCAUUGAACGGGUCAACAUCAGUUUUGUCCGGUGGAUAAAGAUAGUAGGAAUGUAGCUCCCCCGGGAGUGUUAUAGACUAUUAUUGCAUACACUGGGUGAGACUGAGGACUGCAGCUCGCCUUUUGGCCGGUCUUCGGACACGUUCGAGCUUAGGAUGUUGACAUAAUGGCUUUAAACGACCCGUCUUGAAACA